rnacentral:lncRNA from 1 species
AAACAACUUAAUUCAGCUGUACAUGUGUGUUUUAUUGAGAAAUGGUCCUGUGUCUCCGAUCCCCAUGGUUAUUUCCUAUGUAUAAUCCUGGAUUCACAGUUAAGCUAAUGAUAGAAGUGGUAUGUGUUAGAAUUCAUGUCAACGGCAUCGCCCUCUUUUCUCUCCUCUUCAGAUACUACAACAUACUCCACUGAACGAUCUGAGCACUUCAAACCCUGUCGAGACAAGGACCUGGCGUAUUGUCUCAAUGACGGUGAAUGCUUUGUGAUUGAGACCCUGACAGGAUCCCAUAAGCACUGUCGAUUCUUGUGCACAUGGACUGAAUGCUCACUUUCUGUCAAGACUACGGGAGCUCCAGUGAAAUUCAUACAUAAGUUGAAACCUUCUCACGUGGCGUGUCUUUAGAUUUGGAACCUGAAAAUUAAGUUGCUUGGCUCAAGGACGAGGCUUUUCAUUGCACACUAUUUUGCAGACAUUGGCUCAACUUCUAUUGGCUAAUUUGAAUAAUGUAAGCUUUUGUAGUCGUCUUGUCUUUAAUGAACCUUUUAUAUCUUUUAUAUGAUCACCAUGCAAAUGUAUACGUUAUUAUUUUCUUUAUCUGAAAUACUUUCCAGAGCACUGGGAAGACAGUGAGCUGCCAGAUAAGGAAACACCAUUUUCAUUGCAUGCAUAUUUUAUAAGUUUUCACCAUCUGAUGCGGCUGGUUUAUUCACUGUGUAGGAGACACAGCAAGAAGCCUCGUGGCAAAGGUGGUUUCAUCUAAUAAAUGCUCUAGCUUUGCACAUGUGAAACAAGCAUGCACAUAUAGUACUGCAUAAUUAGGGUAAGAAACCUGAGACAGUGAGAUGGGCUGAAACGGAGCGUGUGCUCGUGUGUGCCUGCUGCUGCCAACAGCGUCCGGCAGACACUGCGGGAUGCCAAAAUUAGAGGAAGCUUGAGGCAGUUUAUUAAGGAGCUUAAAUUCUUCUGAGAGGAGAGAGAUCAAGAAUCCAAGCCAUGACGUCCAAUUCAAAAUGAAGGGUGCUUCUCUAGGGAGAAUGGCCUGAUUGAUAUCCAGUAUCCAGGGCAAGAAGGAGUCAAGGAGCACAGUGAGCUCACAAUAAAAGACACCAGUUUAAAUCUACAGCCUGAGAACAUGCUGCUAGGCAUACGGUCUGCCCUGGCUUCUCUGUGUCCAGCAUAUGUGGGUUAGGGAGACCUAUAACCCCAUAGAGCAGACAGGCUAACUCUAACCUAUUUAUCUGCAGAAAGCGAAGAUUUCCACAAAUAAAGCAUUUCUGGCUGGUUUGCUGAUUUUUUUUUU